AACGAACGCUGGCGGCAGGCCUAACACAUGCAAGUCGAACGCUGUAGCAAUACAGAGUGGCAGACGGGUGAGUAACGCGUGGGAACCUACCCUUUGGUUCGGAAUAGCUCAGGGAAACUUGAGGUAAUACCGGAUACGCCCUUCGGGGGAAAGAUCUAUCGCCAAAGGAUGGGCCCGCGUCGGAUUAGCUAGUUGGUGGGGUAAUGGCCUACCAAGGCGACGAUCCGUAGCUGAUCUGAGAGGAUGAUCAGCCACACUGGGACUGAGACACGGCCCAGACUCCUACGGGAGGCAGCAGUGGGGAAUAUUGGACAAUGGGCGCAAGCCUGAUCCAGCCAUGCCGCGUGAGUGACGAAGGUCUUCGGAUUGUAAAGCUCUUUUGGCGGGGAAGAUAAUGACGGUACCCGCAGAAUAAGCCCCGGCUAACUUUGUGCCAGCAGCCGCCGCAGUAA
rnacentral:rRNA from 1 species